rnacentral:tRNA from 1 species
GGCUCGGUAGCUCAGUUGGUAGAGCAACGGAUUGAAGCUCCGUGUGUCGGCGGUUCGAAUCCACUCUCCCCCA